GAUGAACGCUAGCUCUAGGCUUAACACAUGCAAGUCGAGGGACCGGCGCACGGGUGAGUAACGCGUAUCCAACCUACCCAUAACUAAGGGAUAACCCAGCGAAAGUUGGACUAAUACCUUAUGGUUAUGGAUGGGGCUGCGUCUGAUUAGCUUGUUGGCGGGGUAACGGCCCACCAAGGCAACGAUCAGUAGGGGUUCUGAGAGGAAGGCCCACCACAUUGGAAAUGAGACACGGUCCAAACUCCGACGGGAGGCAGCAGUGAGGAAGAUUGGGCAAUGGAGGCAAGUCUGAAACAGCCAAGUAGCGUGAAGGAGGACGGGCUAUGGGUUGUAAACUGCUUUGAUAUGGGGAUAGGUACCAAAUGAAUAAGGACCGGCUAAUUCCGUGCCAGCAGCCGCGGUAAUAC
rnacentral:rRNA from 1 species